AUUGAACGCUGGCGGCAUGCUUUACACAUGCAAGUCGAACGGUAACAGGCCGCAAGGUGCUGACGAGUGGCGCACGGGGGAGUAAUGCAUCGGAACGUGCCCAGGCGUGGGGGAUAACUACUCGAAAGAGUAGCUAAUACCGCAUACGAGCUAUGGAUGAAAGCGGGGGACCGUAAGGCCUCGCGCGAUUGGAGCGGCCGAUGUCAGAUUAGGUAGUUGGUGGGGUAAAGGCUCACCAAGCCAACGAUCUGUAGCUGGUCUGAGAGGACGACCAGCCACACUGGGACUGAGACACGGCCCAGACUCCUACGGGAGGCAGCAGUGGGGAAUUUUGGACAAUGGGCGCAAGCCUGAUCCAGCAAUGCCGCGUGCAGGAAGAAGGCCUUCGGGUUGUAAACUGCUUUUGUACGGAACGAAACGGCUCUGGUUAAUACCCGGGGCUAAUGACGGUACCGUAAGAAUAAGCACCGGCUAACUACGUG
rnacentral:rRNA from 1 species